rnacentral:lncRNA from 1 species
GGCAGGUGCCUUUAAUCCUAGGUACACAGGAGGCUGAGGCAUGAGAAAUGCUUGAACCCAGGAGACAGAGGUUGCAGUGAGCCCAGAUUGCGCCACUGCUCUCCAGCCUGGGCGACAGAGAGAGACUCUGGCUCAAAAACAAACAAACAAACAAACAAACAUGAAAAAAACUUGGCUGGUUUUGUAGACUGGUUCUAUGCUAGAAAAUACUUACAUUUCUGUCCAAAUUUUUGCUUGGAAAAGAUGGUACUACUGUCAAACUAUCAGCUAUCUCAGAGUAUCCAAAUGUCUGCUAACGUUAGCCAAGCUAAUUUCUUCACCACCUAUGAUGACAUUUUCCUGUACACAUUCUAAUUAUUUUGACGUUUGAUGUAGCUGAAAUUCUCUAGUCUGGGAAAGAGUGAACUUAACUAACCUUACAUUUGUUUGUUUGUCUGUUUUUGAGACAGAGUCUCACUCUGUUGCCAGGCUGGAGUGCGGUGGCAGGAUCUUGGCUUACUGCAACUUCCUCCUCCCGGAUUCAAGCAAUUCUCC